rnacentral:rRNA from 1 species
CGCCUGUUUAUCAAAAACAUCGCCUCUUGCAAAACUGAGGAAUAAGAGGUCCCGCCUGCCCUGUGACUAUAUGUUUAACGGCCGCGGUAUUUUGACCGUGCGAAGGUAGCGCAAUCACUUGUCUUUUAAAUGGAGACCUGUAUGAAUGGCAUAACGAGGGCUUAGCUGUCUCCUUUUUCAAGUCAAUGAAAUUGAUCUCCCCGUGCAGAAGCGGGGAUAGCACCAUAAGACGAGAAGACCCUAUGGAGCUUUAGACACCAAGGCAGAUCAUGUUAAACACCCCUUCACAAAGGACCAAACCAGAUGAACCCUGCCCUAAUGUCUUUGGUUGGGGCGACCGCGGGGAAACAAAAAACCCCCACGUGGAAUGGGAAUACUCCUUCCUACAACUAAGAGCUCCCGCUCUAAUGACCAGAAUUUCUGACCAAUCAGAUCCGGCAACGCCGAUCAACGGACCAAGUUACCCUAGGGAUAACAGCGCAAUCCCCUUUUAGAGCCCAUAUCGACAAGGGGGUUUACGACCUCGAUGUUGGAUCAGGACAUCCUAAUGGUGCAGCCGCUAUUAAGGGUUCGUUUGUUCAACGAUUAAAGUCCUACGUGAUCUGA